rnacentral:rRNA from 1 species
UACAGAGGUGGCAAGCGUUGUUCGGAAUUACUGGGCGUAAAGGGCGCGUAGGCGGCCUUCUAAGUCAGACGUGAAAAUCCCCCCGGCUUAACCUGGGAAACUGCGUCUGAUACUGGGAGGCUUGAGUAUGGGAGAGGGAUGUAGAAUUCCAGGUGUAGCGGUGAAAAUGCGUAGAUAAUCUGGAGGAAUACCGGUGGCGAAGGCGGGCAAUCCUGGGACCCAUUACUGACGCUGAGGCGCG